rnacentral:rRNA from 1 species
UACGUUCCCGGGUCUUGUACACACCGCCCCGUCACACCAUGGGAGCGGGUUUUACCAGAAGUAGGUAGCUUAACCGCAAGGGGGGCGCUUACCACGGUAGGAUUCGUGACUGGGGUG